UACGUAGGCAGCAAGCGUUGUUCGGAGUUACUGGGCGUAAAGGGUGUGUAGGCGGUUUUUUAAGUUUGGUGUGAAAUCUCCCGGCUCAACUGGGAGGGUGCGCCGAAUACUGAAAGACUAGAGUGCGGGAGAGGAAAGUGGAAUUCCUGGUGUAGCGGUGAAAUGCGUAGAUAUCAGGAGGAACACCGGCGGUGUAGACGGCUUUCUGGACCGUAGCUGACGCUGAGACACGAAAGCGUGGGUAGCAAACAGG
rnacentral:rRNA from 1 species